rnacentral:hammerhead_ribozyme from 1 species
GCACUGUUGAGGAGUCCCAAAAUAGGACGAAACGGUUUUCCAGUGC